AAAUGAAUAGACGGGGGCCCGCACAAGCGGUGGAGCAUGUGGUUUAAUUCGAUGCAACGCGAAGAACCUUACCUACUCUUGACAUCCAGAGAACUUAGCAGAGAUGCUUUGGUGCCUUCGGGAACUCUGAGACAGGUGCUGCAUGGCUGUCGUCAGCUCGUGUUGUGAAAUGUUGGGUUAAGUCCCGCAACGAGCGCAACCCUUAUCCUUUGUUGCCAGCGGUUAGGCCGGGAACUCAAAGGAGACUGCCAGUGAUAAACUGGAGGAAGGUGGGGAUGACGUCAAGUCAUCAUGGCCCUUACGAGUAGGGCUACACACGUGCUACAAUGGCAUAUACAAAGAGAAGCGACCUCGCGAGAGCAAGCGGACCUCAUAAAGUAUGUCGUAGUCCGGAUUGGAGUCUGCAACUCGACUCCAUGAAGUCGGAAUCGCUAGUAAUCGUGGAUCAGAAUGCCACGGUGAAUACGUUCCCGGGCCUUGUACACACCGCCCGU
rnacentral:rRNA from 1 species